UACGGAGGGUGCGAGCGUUGUCCGGAAUCACUGGGCGUAAAGGGCGCGUAGGCGGCCCGGCAAGUCAACGGUGAAAGCUUGGGGCUCAACCCCGAGUCGGCCGUCGAUACUUCCGGGCUGGAGCACUGUAGAGGCAGGUGGAAUUCCGGGUGUAGCGGUGGAAUGCGUAGAGAUCGUCUGGAACGCCAAAGGUGAAGACAGUCUGCUGGGGACUUGCUGACGCUGAGACACGAAAGCCAGGGGAGCGAACGGG
rnacentral:rRNA from 1 species